UAGCCGAUCUGAGAGGAUGUACGGCCACAUUGGGACUGAGACACGGCCCAGACUCCUACGGGAGGCAGCAGUGGGGAAUAUUGCACAAUGGAGGAAACUCUGAUGCAGCGACGCCGCGUGAGUGAAGAAGUAUUUCGGUAUGUAAAGCUCUAUCAGCAGGGAAGAAAAUGACGGUACCUGACUAAGAAGCACCGGCUAAAUACGUGCCAGCAGCCGCGGUAAUACGUAUGGUGCAAGCGUUAUCCGGAUUUACUGGGUGUAAAGGGAGCGUAGGUGGCAAGGCAAGCCAGAAGUGAAAACCCGGGGCUCAACCGCGGGAUUGCUUUUGGAACUGUCAUGCUAGAGUGCAGGAGGGGUGAGCGGAAUUCCUAGUGUAGCGGUGAAAUGCGUAGAUAUUAGGAGGAACACCGGAGGCGAAGGCGGCUCACUGGACUGUAACUGACACUGAGGCUCGAAAGCGUGGGGAGCAAACAGGAUUAGGUACCCUGGUAGUCCACGCGGUAAACGAUGAAUACUAGAUGUCGGGUAGCAUAGCUAUUCGGUGUCGUCGCAAACGCAAUAAGUAUUCCACCUGGGGAGUACGUUCGCAAGAAUGAAACUCAAAGGAAUUGACGGGGACCCGCACAAGCGGUGGAGCAUGUGGUUUAAUUCGAAGCAACGCGAAGAACCUUACCUGCUCUUGACAUCCCAUUCGAUAGAGGGUAAUGCCUCUAGCCCUUCGGGGGAAUGGAGACAGGUGGUGCAUGGUUGUCGUCAGCUCGUGUCGUGAGAUGUUGGGUUAAGUCCCGCAACGAGCGCAACCCUUAUUGUCAGUAGCCAGCAGGUGAAGCUGGGCACUCUGAUGAGACUGCCGGGGAUAACCCGGAGGAAGGUGGGGAUGACGUCAAAUCAUCAUGCCCCUUAUGAGCAGGGCUACACACGUGCUACAAUGGCGUAAACAGAGGGAAGCGAAGGAGUGAUCUGGAGCAAAUCUCAAAAAUAACGUCUCAGUUCGGAUUGUAGUCUGCAACUCGACUACAUGAAGCUGGAAUCGCUAGUAAUCGCAGAUCAGAAUGCUGCGGUGAAUACGUUCCCGGGUCUUGUACACACCGCCCGUCACACCAUGGGAGUCGGUAAUGCCCGAAGUCAGUGACUCAACCAUAAAGGAGAGAGCUGCCGAAGGCAGGACUGGUAACUGGGGUGAAGUCGUAACAAGGUAGCCGUAUCGGGGUGCGGCUG
rnacentral:rRNA from 1 species